rnacentral:rRNA from 1 species
CUACGGGUCGCACCAGUGGGGAAUAUUGCACAAUGGGCGCAAGCCUGAUGCAGCCAUGCCGCGUGUAUGAAGAAGGCCUUCGGGUUGUAAAGUACUUUCAGCGGGGAGGAAGGGAGUAAAGUUAAUACCUUUGCUCAUUGACGUUACCCGCAGAAGAAGCACCGGCGAACUCCGUGCCAGCAGCCGCGGUAAUACGGAGGGUGCAAGCGUUAAUCGGAAUUACUGGGCGUAAGGCGCACGCAGGCGGUUUGUUAAGUCAGAUGUGAAAUCCCCGGGCUCAACCUGGGAACUGCAUCUGAUACUGGCAAGCUUGAGUCUCGUAGAGGGGGGUAGAAUUCCAGGUGUAGCGGUGAAAUGCGUAGAGAUCUGGAGGAAUACCGGUGGCGAAGGCGGCCCCCUGGACGAAGACUGACGCUCAGGUGCGAAAGCGUAGGGAGCAAACAGGAUUAGAUACCCCCGUAGUC